CCCCGCGCUCCUCCGGGCAGAGCGCGUGUGGCGGCCGAGCACAUGGGCCCGCGGGCCGGGCGGGCUCGGGGCGGCCGGGACGAGGAGGGGCGACGACGAGCUGCGAGCAAAGAUGUGCCCCGGGACCCCCGGCACCUUCCAGUGGAUUUCCUUGCGGAAAGGAUGUUGGCGGUCCCUGUGACCUGUGGAGACACGGCCAGAUCUGCCCUCCAGCCUGAUCUUUUGGCCAGAAGGAGAUUAAAAAGAUGCCCCUCAAGAUGGCUGUGCCUGUCAGCUGCAUGGAGCUUCGUUCAAGUAUUUUCUGAGCCUGAUGGAUUUACAGUGAUCUUCAGUGGUCUGGGGAAUAACGCUGGUGGAACCAUGCACUGGAAUGACACACGCCCGGCACAUUUCAGGAUACUAAAAGUGGUUUUAAGGGAGGCUGUGGCUGAAUGCCUCAUGGAUUCUUACAGCUUGGAUGUCCAUGGGGGACGAAGGACUGCAGCUGGCUGAGAGGGUUGAGAUCUCUGUUUACUUAGAUCUCUGCCAACUUCCUUUGGGUCUCCCUAUGGAAUGUAAGACCCCGACUCUUCCUGGUGAAGCAUCUGAUGCACGUUCCAUCCGGCGCUCAGCUGGGCUUGAGGACUUCGCAGGUGAGCAGUAACGGAAAUCAGCCCCGUUUAUUCCUCCCAGCACCUGCCUUAUCCAACUCCCCACGCUGUGGCUGAGUCCCAGCCUGCUAUGGAAGCAUCACUGGACUCCCAUUGAACUCUGUGCAGAUUCGCUGUUCGUAGACAUGGUACCUGAUGGACACCAAGCUACGUACAGCUUCAAGGCCCCUUCUUUCUUUGCUAAUAAAAAAUAAAAAAUAAAAAC
rnacentral:lncRNA from 1 species